CGAAAUCACAGGCCAGUUUCGGUAUCAAGACGACGAAUUCUCUGUUUGGUUCUUCAAAUUCUGGCCUAGAAAACUCGAUUUCUCCGAGAUCACCAGCCGAUUUCGGCAUCAGGACGAGGAAUUCUCUGUCUGGGUCUACGAAUUCUGUCCUAGAAAACUCAAUUUCUCCGAAAUCACUAGCCGAUUUCAGUAUCAAAACGAAAAAUUCUCAAUCUGGGUCAGCAAAUUCUGGCCUAGAAAACUCGAAUUCUCCAAAAUCACCUGCCGAUUUCGGUAUCAAAACGAAAAAUUCUCAAUCUGGGUCAGCAAAUACUGGCCUAGAAAACUCGAAUUCUCCAAAAUCACCUGCCAAUUUCGGUAUCAAAACUAGAAAUUCUCAACCUGGGUCUGCAAAUCCUGGCCAAGACUUUCUCUCCCCAUCUUCAGAGAAGAAAUCCCCAUUGGGGUCUGAAAAUUUAGCCAAAGAAAACCCAAACACGCCGCUGGUUUUCCCCUGCUCUCUCUCUGCUAGUGAAAUGGAGCUCUCAG
rnacentral:lncRNA from 1 species